CCCCCGAUGGUCUAGUUGGAUAUGGCGGUCGGCUGUAAUGGAAUAAUUGUAACCGACAGGUCGCCGGCUCGAUUCCGGCUCGGGGGA
rfam:Neosartorya fischeri NRRL 181 1099437636249 genomic scaffold, whole genome shotgun sequence.